AAGGAAGCUCAUUAGGUUCCGACGGAACCGCAAGGGCGGGAAGCAAAGAGGGAAACGCGACGCCCAGGAGAGUGGAGGAGAGAUCGACGCCUUGGACAUGGAAACGAUUUAAACUUACUUGUAGCAAAUCCUUCAUGGUGGAGCAGGAAUAGGAAGCGUUUGACUUACUUUGGCCAGUGCAUAUGAGCAAACAUGAUGUUCAGCAAGUCCCAGCAGAUGCUUGAAGAGCCAUUGUCUGUUUCUACCAACUCUCUUGCUCUCUUCUGUUGCCAAAAGAGAAAGGUGUGAGGAAAGUUCAAGAGGGGAAACAAGAAAAGACUAGUGACAUAAUUUAAGAAAAGGAGGACUGCAAUGCAUCCUGAAGCUGCCUAUCUCCAAAUAUUCUCUCCUAUAGGCAGGGCCAACAGGUAUAAAGGGGAGCAGUCAAUGGACUCUAAGGAUAAGUAGAGGUAAAAACCUGAAGAAAAAUAAUGUCCUUUAGAAAAGUAUGUGUGCAAAUUGUCUACUAACUAGAUUUGAAAGAUGAUUCGUAAGAAACAAAUUUGGGAAUUAUUUUAUUAAGAAAUAUAUAAUGUCAAUUACAAAGGAACAUAUACAUUUUCAAAAGCAUUCACAAAAUAAAU